rnacentral:rRNA from 1 species
GGGUGCUCGAGUGGCGAACGGGUGAGUAACACGUGGGUGAUCUGCCCCUGACUUCGGGAUAAGCUUGGGAAACUGGGUCUAAUACCGGAUAGGACAAUCGUUUAGUGUCGGUUGUGGAAAGUUUUUUCGGUUAGGGAUGAGCCCGCGGCCUAUCAUCUUGUUGGUGGGGUAAUGGCCUACCAAGGCGUCGACGGGUAGCCGGCCUGAGAGGGUGGACGGCCACAUUGGGACUGAGAUACCGCCCAUACUCCUACGGGAGGCAGCAGUGGGGAAUAUUGCACAAUGGGCGCAAGCCUGAUGCAGCGACGCCGCGUGGGGGAUGACGGCCUUCUGGUUGUAAACCUCUUUCGACAGGGACGAAGCUUUUGUGACGGUACCUGUAUAAUAAGCACCGGCUAACUACGUGCCACCAGCCGCGGUAAUACGUAGGGUGCGAGCGUUGUCCGGAAUUACUGGGCGUAAAGAGCUCGUAGGUGGUUUGUCUCGUCAUCUGUGUAAUUCCGGGGCUUAACUUCUGGCGUGCAUGCGAUACGGGCAUAACUUGAGUGCUGUAGGGGAGACUGGAAUUCCUGGUGUAGCGGUGGAAUGCUCAGAUAUCAA